AGAAACAUCAAGAAGGCUACGAGGCAACAUCAAUGAGUGAUAAAGGAUCCGACAAUUCAGGCCCAGGGAGCAAGGAGGCUAUUUAGCAGCCACCUGGCAGCACAACUUUGGGGCUGCAGACUCCCCAUGUAGGGAGAGAGGAAAGAAGAGUGAUCAACCUUCUGAGUUACGCUGUUCUCUUAGGAGGACCUCUUCAGGCCCUUCCAGCCGGCUGUCACUAGGAUGUAUUUUGGGUCUUUCAUGAGUGCCCUUGUCCAGAUUUCUGUCUGGGAAUAUCAGGGUUUUUUCAUCUGCAGGAGUAAUUCUAGGAACUCCCCUGAAAAGGAAAUGAAGUUGAUUCAUCUGGAGAAUGAAGGAAGGCUUUGUUUUUAUGUGUAGAGUAAACGUCUUGCAAGAAAAACCACCUUGGAAGGGGCAUUCUGUCGAUUGAUGGAAAGGGAAAAUGCCUCUUUCAGCUGCUAUUUCGAAAGUGUGCCUUGAGAUUUCUUCCAGAAAAAUAGUUAAUUUUUUAAAAAAUUAAUGUGUUGCCCAAUUAAUUGGAUUAUAUAUUUGAUUAUUCAAAAGUUUAACAAAUAACCAAUAUACUAACUGAGGGCAGCCUUCAGACACAGAAAAUGGUACACCUUUUCUACAACUCAGUUAAUGGAUUUAAUAAUUUAGAAAAAUGGAAGAUGACAUCAGCUGUGCAGCCAGGCUGCUUCCUUCCUAAGUGCUGCAGUUUCCUUGAGAUUUUGGGGGAUGGUUUUGAUUCAUCAAAUUAAUUGUUCGGUUUUGCCCAGUCAAGAAAGCAAAUAAUGUCUCUUUGAAACUGUGGUUACCUAUAAAAAAAAAUUAAUAUGCAUUCAAGUAUUUCUUACCCUCUUUUAAUAACUGUGAUGGCUAAGUCACUUGUAGUUUUGCUUUAUAUAACAUUUCUUUACACACAUAUUGUAAGAUUGCCAAAAUUGCUUACUGAGAAUAAAUGAUUUUGUUUUCCUCUCACCUCAGUUGCUGCCUGUUUUGGGAGGUUGGAAAUAGGGGGGAUUUGACCCACCUUGUUGAUCAGAGACCCUGAUUUCACUUUGAGUGGUAGGAAGGGGGGAGCCAAGGCGAACUUGGAAGGAGGGAGAACUGGAGUGGCUCCUGUCUGCUCCUUUGAGGAGGCGGCAGACAUUUUGCUUCUGUGUCCAGGUGCUUCUGUAGCACCAACUGAUCU